CUUUUGUUUUUUUGGUCAAUGAAAAGACACGGUUUUAUUCCUGCCUUCUCUCCUUCAACAAACAACCGAAUGUGUGCACAGCUCCUACCACAUCCCAGGCGUGGCAGCCGUCAAAACAAAGACCAAGAGGGCCCCGACCCGGGUGGGGAGGCAGUGAAUAAUCAGAGAAGUUCCUGUGUCCGGAUAACCUGAGUGCUCUCUGGAUGGCACGGCAGAGGGAGGCGAGAGCUCAGGCACCUGAGACAGGGGUCCUCUGGGGGCACGGUUUGGCCACGAGACUGCAGAUGGAGUGCAUUUCACUCAGGACAAAAUCAGACACCACAGGGAGCUCCAUCCCACGCGUGCUCAGGGGCCUUCAGAGCUUCCUGAGCGCUACAGCGUGUCCCUCUUGAUCAGCACCCCCAACAAAGCCCGCAUUUCACACACGAUGCUCACAAACGGUCCCUUCCAGUCUGGGGAUGAUCCACCUGGUCACUUUCACUUGAUACGGUGACAAAUAGAAACUGAAUAAUGAAAACGACGCUAACAGUGAUAGCAGGAAUUCGGUGAACAUGGACGGCAUGGAGUCAAAUGCCAAACCAUGGCAGAUCUGGAGAAAAUUGUGACAAUGUCCACAUCAUCUGUGUAAGUGUCCUUUACAGGGGGUCUUCUGGACGGCGCGUCACCUUUCACGUGAUCUUUUAGGUUGUUCUCUUUCUCUGGAAUUCUGUAAGCUUCUUAGAGGAAUUCCGAAGGACAUACAUUGGAGAUGAAUUUUAUUCCAGAAAUAUUAAGUUACGAUCGGACACGAACAUGAUUCUAACUUUCAGUGAUUCCAUAAAGGUUUCUUCAAAAGAUGAGAGCUGGGUAUUUCAGCUGCACUGGUUAAAUUACUACAGCCGUGGGGGCGGGGGUUAAUUCUCUGCACCCACUCACCACAGAGCAUUCUAUCACGCUUGGCAACUUGGCUUUCCUUGGCUCCACUCUGAACUUUGUGACCCAUUCAGAGGCUUGCCUGAGAGCUGAUCUUGUUUUGGAAGCUCACAAUGGCUCCGCCUCAAAAGGAACGAGCUUCAGACCUGACCUGAAAGGGAGGCACAGACCACAGAUUUCUGCUCCUGAAUCAGGAUAUUCCUGUGAUCCUGGCUAAGCUGUUCGACAUUCUAGAGCUCCAGUCCUCAGCUGUCAAAUGGAAAAAGAAAUCUACCCUUCUCACCCUUACAGCUUUGUUUUGAGGGUCAAACAAGGUAAAACACUGAAAAACAGAAAGCACUUGUCUCUCUCCUGAGGCCUUUGCACACGCUGUUCCCCAUACCCAGACAGUGCUCUGACCCUUCC
rnacentral:lncRNA from 1 species